AAGUCGUAACAAGGUUUCCGUAGGUGAACCUGCGGAAGGAUCAUUAACUUUAUACAAUUGGGUUCGCCCGAUUUUAUAUACUAAAAAACCAAAAUCUACCAAUCCGUGAACUUUAAACACAAAACGAAAGAGAUGAAAGGGCGUUACAACCUGACCAGUCUCUGACAGAACCAAUUCCACACUUUUAUAUUAACCUUAUUAACAAACCAUUACCGUAACGCCAUUCGUUUUUCAGAGUGGGUCGUACUAAAACAACAGCGUGUUGCUACUCUUUUUGAGCGCAUGCACCAAUUAUUUUACAAAAUAGAGAAAUACAACUCUUAACAAUGGAUAUCUUGGCUCUC
rnacentral:misc_RNA from 1 species